GUUUUAAUAAUUUAAGGAAAAUCUUGGUCUUGUAAACCAAAAAUAAGCUAAGCUUUUAAAACU
rnacentral:tRNA from 1 species